AAUCAACGCUGGCGGCGUGCCUCAGACAUGCAAGUCGAACGAGAACCUCCCUUCGGGGGAGGGGACAGUGGCGCACGGGUGAGUAACACGUGGGUAAUUUACCUUUGGGUGGGGAACAACAGCCGGAAACGGCUGCUAAUACCGCAUAAUGCAGCGGCUCGACAUCGAGACAGUUGUUAAAGCGGGGAUCGCAAGACCUCGCGCCUGAAGAGAAGCCUGCGGCGGAUAGCUAGUUGGUAGGGUAAUGGCCUACCAAGGCGACGAUCUGUAACCGGCCUGAGAGGGCGGUCGGUCACACUGACACUGACAUACGGGUCAGACUCCUACGGGAGGC
rnacentral:rRNA from 1 species